CUGGGAGGACCAUCUCCUAAGGCUAAAUACUCUCUAGUGACCGAUAGUGAACCAGUACCGUGAGGGAAAGGUGAAAAGCACCCCGGAAGGGGAGUGAAAUAGAACCUGAAACCGUGUGCUUACAAGUAGUCAGAGCCCGUUAAUGGGUGAUGGCGUGCCUUUUGUAGAAUGAACCGGCGAGUUACGAUUUGAUGCAAGGUUAAGCAGUAAAUGUGGAGCCGUAGCGAAAGCGAGUCUGAAUAGGGCGUUUAGUAUUUGGUCGUAGACCCGAAACCAGGUGAUCUACCCUUGGUCAGGUUGAAGUUCAGGUAACACUGAAUGGAGGACCGAACCGACUUACGUUGAAAAGUGAGCGGAUGAACUGAGGGUAGCGGAGAAAUUCCAAUCGAACCUGGAGAUAGCUGGUUCUCUCCGAAAUAGCUUUAGGGCUAGCCUCAAGUGAUGAUUAUUGGAGGUAGAGCACUGUUUGGACGAGGGGCCCCUCUCGGGUUACCGAAUUCAGACAAACUCCGAAUGCCAAUUAAUUUAACUUGGGAGUCAGAACAUGGGUGAUAAGGUCCGUGUUCGAAAGGGAAACAGCCCAGACCACCAGCUAAGGUCCCAAAAUAUAUGUUAAGUGGAAAAGGAUGUGGCGUUGCCCAGACAACUAGGAUGUUGGCUUAGAAGCAGCCAUCAUUUAAAGAGUGCGUAAUAGCUCACUAGUCGAGUGACACUGCGCCGAAAAUGUACCGGGGCUAAACAUAUUACCGAAGCUGUGGAUUGUCCUUUGGACAAUGGUAGGAGAGCGUUCUAAGGGCGUUGAAGCAUGAUCGUAAGGACAUGUGGAGCGCUUAGAAGUGAGAAUGCCGGUGUGAGUAGCGAAAGACGGGUGAGAAUCCCGUCCACCGAUUGACUAAGGUUUCCAGAGGAAGGCUCGUCCGCUCUGGGUUAGUCGGGUCCUAAGCUGAGGCCGACAGGCGUAGGCGAUGGAUAACAGGUUGAUAUUCCUGUACCACCUAUAAUCGUUUUAAUCGAUGGGGGGACGCAGUAGGAUAGGCGAAGCGUGCGAUUGGAUUGCACGUCUAAGCAGUAAGGCUGAGUAUUAGGCAAAUCCGGUACUCGUUAAGGCUGAGCUGUGAUGGGGAGAAGACAUUGUGUCUUCGAGUCGUUGAUUUCACACUGCCGAGAAAAGCCUCUAGAUAGAAAAUAGGUGCCCGUACCGCAAACCGACACAGGUAGUCAAGAUGAGAAUUCUAAGGUGAGCGAGCGAACUCUCGUUAAGGAACUCGGCAAAAUGACCCCGUAACUUCGGGAGAAGGGGUGCUCUUUAGGGUUAACGCCCAGAAGAGCCGCAGUGAAUAGGCCCAAGCGACUGUUUAUCAAAAACACAGGUCUCUGCUAAACCGUAAGGUGAUGUAUAGGGGCUGACGCCUGCCCGGUGCUGGAAGGUUAAGAGGAGUGGUUAGCUUCUGCGAAGCUACGAAUCGAAGCCCCAGUAAACGGCGGCCGUAACUAUAACGGUCCUAAGGUAGCGAAAUUCCUUGUCGGGUAAGUUCCGACCCGCACGAAAGGCGUAACGAUUUGGGCACUGUCUCAACGAGAGACUCGGUGAAAUCAUAGUACCUGUGAAGAUGCAGGUUACCCGCGACAGGACGGAAAGACCCCGUGGAGCUUUACUGUAGCCUGAUAUUGAAAUUCGGCACAGCUUGUACAGGAUAGGUAGGAGCCUUUGAAACGUGAGCGCUAGCUUACGUGGAGGCGCUGGUGGGAUACUACCCUAGCUGUGUUGGCUUUCUAACCCGCACCACUUAUCGUGGUGGGAGACAGUGUCAGGCGGGCAGUUUGACUGGGGCGGUCGCCUCCUAAAAGGUAACGGAGGCGCUCAAAGGUUCCCUCAGAAUGGUUGGAAAUCAUUCAUAGAGUGUAAAGGCAUAAGGGAGCUUGACUGCGAGACCUACAAGUCGAGCAGGGUCGAAAGACGGACUUAGUGAUCCGGUGGUUCCGCAUGGAAGGGCCAUCGCUCAACGGAUAAAAGCUACCCCGGGGAUAACAGGCUUAUCUCCCCCAAGAGUUCACAUCGACGGGGAGGUUUGGCACCUCGAUGUCGGCUCAUCGCAUCCUGGGGCUGUAGUCGGUCCCAAGGGUUGGGCUGUUCGCCCAUUAAAGCGGUACGCGAGCUGGGUUCAGAACGUCGUGAGACAGUUCGGUCCCUAUCCGUCGUGGGCGUAGGAAAUUUGAGAGGAGCUGUCCUUAGUACGAGAGGACCGGGAUGGACAUACCUCUGGUGUACCAGUUGUCGUGCCAACGGCAUAGCUGGGUAGCUAUGUGUGGACGGGAUAAGUGCUGAAAGCAUCUAAGCAUGAAGCCCCCCUCAAGAUGAGAUUUCCCAACUUCGGUUAUAAGAUCCCUCAAAGAUGAUGAGGUUAAUAGGUUCGAGGUGGAAGCAUGGUGACAUGUGGAGCUGACGAAUACU
rnacentral:rRNA from 1 species